AUACGUAGGUGGCAAGCGUUGUCCGGAUUUACUGGGCGUAAAGGGAGCGUAGGUGGAUAUUUAAGUGGGAUGUGAAAUACCCGGGCUUAACCUGGGUGCUGCAUUCCAAACUGGAUACCUAGAGUGCAGGAGAGGAAAGGAGAAUUCCUAGUGUAGCGGUGAAAUGCGUAGAGAUUAGGAAGAAUACCAGUGGCGAAGGCGCCUUUCUGGACUGUAACUGACACUGAGGCACGAAAGCGUGGGGAGC
rnacentral:rRNA from 1 species